rnacentral:rRNA from 1 species
UCGCCUUCAGUUGCCAGCAGGUUGGGCGUGGGCGACUCUGGAGGAACUGCCGGUGACAAGCCGGAGGAAGGUGGGGAGUGACGUCAAGUCCUCAUGGCCCUUAUGUCCUGGGCUACACACGUGCUACAAUGGCGGUGACAGAGGGAAGCGAGGCUGUGAGGCUGAGCCGAUCCCGAAAAGCCGUCUCAGUUCAGAUUGCACUCUGCAACUCGAGUGCAUGAAGGCGGAAUCGCUAGUAAUCGCGGAUCAGCAUGCCGCGGUGAA